rnacentral:ncRNA from 1 species
UUCCACUAGGGGAGCGUUUGCUGAGAGGCCGUUUGCGGCCGACCCUUGGAACCUGUCGGGGUAAUACCUGCGUAGGGAAGUGGCCUUG